rnacentral:rRNA from 1 species
CCUACGGGGGGCAGCAGUGGGGAAUAUUGCGCAAUGGGGGCAACCCUGACGCAGCCAUGCCGCGUGAAUGAAGAAGGCCUUCGGGUUGUAAAGUUCUUUCGGUAGCGAGGAAGGCAUUUAGUUUAAUAGACUAGGUGAUUGACGUUAACUACAGAAGAAGCACCGGCUAACUCCGUGCCAGCAGCCGCGGUAAUACGGAGGGUGCGAGCGUUAAUCGGAAUAACUGGGCGUAAAGGGCACGCAGGCGGUGACUUAAGUGAGGUGUGAAAGCCCCGGGCUU